UACGGAGGGUGCAAGCGUUAUUCGGAAUUACUGGGCGUAAAGCGCGCGUAGGCGGCUUUGUAAGUCAGGGGUGAAAUCCCACGGCUCAACCGUGGAACUGCCUUUGAAACUGCGAGGCUUGAAUCCUGGAGAGGGUGGCGGAAUUCCUGGUGUAGGAGUGAAAUCCGUAGAUAUCAGGAGGAACACCGGUGGCGAAGGCGGCCACCUGGACAGGUAUUGACGCUGAGGUGCGAAAGUGUGGGGAGCAAACAGGAUUAGAUACCCCUGUAGUCCCUGAG
rnacentral:rRNA from 1 species